UAUAGUUUGAUCAUGGCUCAGAGCGAACGCUGGCGGCAGGCUUAACACAUGCAAGUCGAGCGGGCGUAGCAAUACGUCAGCGGCAGACGGGUGAGUAACGCGUGGGAACAUACCUUUUGGUUCGGAACAACACAGGGAAACUCGUGCUAAUACCGGAUAAGCCCUUACGGGGAAAGAUUUAUCGCCGAAAGAUUGGCCCGCGUCUGAUUAGCUAGUUGGUGAGGUAAUGGCUCACCAAGGCGACGAUGCAUAGCUGGUCUGAGAGGAUGAUCAGCCACACUGGGACUGAGACACGGCCCAGACUCCUACGGGAGGCAGCAGCCAGGAAUCUUGGGCAAUGGGCGCAAGCCUGACCCAGCAACACCGUGUGGGCGAUGAAGGCCUUCGGGUCGUAAAGCCCUGUUGAUAGGGACG
rnacentral:rRNA from 1 species